GACGAACGCUGGCGGCGGGCUUAAUACGUGCAAGUCGAACGAGAAGCUCCGGGCUUGCCUGGAGUGGAGAGUGGCGCACGGGUGAGUAACACGUAGGCAACCUACCCCUGAGAGUGGGAUAACCAUGGGAAACUGUGGCUAAUACCGCAUAUUGUCUUGGAAACGCAUGUUUCUAAGAUGAAAACUCCGGUGCUCAGGGAUGGGCCUGCGGCGGAUUAGUUUGUUGGUAGGGUAACGGCCUACCAAGACUACGAUCUGUAGCUGGUCUGAGAGGAUGAUCGGCCACACUGGCACUGAGACACGGGCCAG
rnacentral:rRNA from 1 species